rnacentral:rRNA from 1 species
GAUAAACGCUGGCGGCGUGCCUAAUACAUGCGAGUCGAGCGAACAGACGAGGAGCUUGCUCCUCUGAUGUUAGCGGCGGACGGGUGAGUAACACGUGGAUAACCUACCUAUAAGACUGGGAUAACUUCGGGAAACCGGAGCUAAUACCGGAUAACAUGUUGAACCGCAUGGUUCAACAGUGAAAGACGGUCUUGCUGUCACUUAUAGAUGGAUCCGCGCCGCAUUAGCUAGUUGGUAAGGUAACGGCUUACCAAGGCAACGAUGCGUAGCCGACCUGAGAGGGUGAUCGGCCACACUGGAACUGAGACACGGUCCAGACUCCUACGGGAGGCAGCAGUAGGGAAUCUUCCGCAAUGGGCGAAAGCCUGACGGAGCAACGCCGCGUGAGUGAAGAAGGUCUUCGGAUCGUAAAACUCUGUUAUUAGGGAAGAACAAAUGUGUAAGUAACUAUGCACGUCUUGACGGUACCUAAUCAGAAAGCCACGGCUAACUACGUG